GCCCGGAUAGCUCAGUUGGUAGAGCACUUCCAUGGUAAGGAAGGGGUCACGAGUUCGAGUCUCGUUCCGGGCU
rnacentral:tRNA from 5 species